GAGAGGAAAUUAAACAUGUCUAGGUUGAUUUGGCCUUGAUUUACCUGUUGAAAAUGAAAGGAUAUUUCACAUUCUGAACAACGUGCCCUUCAUGACAAGUUCACCGCUUCGUCGGAAGAAUCCAGAAAAUUAAUAGGUCGCAUUCCACUAUUCAUUCAGCAUAGAUCAUUCAAAUUCUGCAGCGAUGCGCUGGGAUCCCCAUGCUGAACGGCCCUGCGUUCUUCCGAGCGGCCCCUCUGCAGUGUUAUGGGAAACAUGCCACCGCUUUACACAGUCCACAGUCCUUCAAGACUUGGGUGAAAAAGGCCUGAGCCAUGCACUGGAAGGUAGGAAACUGAAAAUCAGAGAAGGAACACAUGCCUUGCCUGAGGUCACAACAUGAGGAAGUAGGACAGGCCGGAUCCAAAACAGGGCUUCUCAACACCAAGGCCACAGGCUCUCCAUGCACAGAGCUGCCCAU